CAGGAUGAACGCUAGCGGCAGGCUUAAUACAUGCAAGUCGAACGGUAACAGGUCCAGCAAUGGAUGCUGACGAGUGGCGCACGGGUGCGUAACACGUAUGCAAUCUACCUUUAACUGGGGAAUAGCUCCGAGAAAUCGGAAUUAAUACCCCAUAACAUUAUGAAGUGGCAUCACUUUAUACUUAAAACUCCGGUGGUUAAAGAUGAGCAUGCGCGACAUUAGCUAGUUGGUGAGGUAAUGGCUCACCAAGGCUACGAUGUCUAGGGGAUCUGAGAGGAUUAACCCCCACACUGGUACUGAGACACGGACCAGAC
rnacentral:rRNA from 1 species